CUUUGCAUGUUUCAUGCUUCCUGCAAUAGCCCAUUCAGAACUAUUGUUGUUGAAAGUAUUGUUAGUUCGCUUUCAGCAAUCAAGCGUUGGAUGGAGAAAGAUGUUGAUGAAGUGGGGAACAUCACCCGCAACAUAAAAAAAAAAAAUUAGAAGAAAAUUCACCCAUCUGAAUUUUCAGCUAGGCUGAUCUCUUAUAUAUGCAUGGUUAACAUGAGAGGUUCCUCACUUGAUGAAUGAAGUGGAUUUCACAAAUAUAAGUUGUUGGUUCCAAAGAGCCUGUUAUAAAUGGUAUGUGUAAACCAUAUGGGAGCAUCUGCUAGGGAAGAUGUUUUUGCUGCUGAUCUUAUUUUAUCUGGUAUACUCGUGCUGUGAAUUACUUGGAGUAGUGCAUAUGUAGUAUUCCAUCAAGUUUUGUUGACAUAUUUGCAUUCUGUUAUUAAUUGUGAUCCAAUCUAGCUAACAUCUGCUCAUUUGAAUUCUUUAUCUGCUAUUUUUCUAGGAUUAAGCAACACAUCAUUUACAAAUACUUGACGUGGAAAUCAAAUGCAAGAUCAACGUAUCCGGAGAGGUGUGGGGAGAUGCUGCCGGAAUUUUGGUGUGGACAUUUAAAUGGGAACAUGAAAGCAUUGCAAUCUAUCCAGUCUUAGAUGGAUGACUAAUUUAGUCAGUCAAUUAAAGAUACCAUUAGAGAUUCUAUAUGAAUCCCUAAGUCGUCAUUGCUUGUGGGGUGAGCAAUAAUGAUGUUUGUUUCAUUGUAAUUUGUCUCUUUAAUACUCUUCCUUGAAUUUCUCUUAUACCCAUUCUAGUUUAUCUCUCCUAGGAAGCUUUGUCGGGCCCACGUUGUAUUUCAACUAACUUGUCGAAUUAGCCGAGGAACAUAGCGAUGGAUAAGAAUUGGAUUAAUUUGUCAAGGUAACUCAGUAACUUCUCCUUCCAGUUGUUGUGGCCCAAUGGUUAAGAUGCAUUGUUUGAUAUGUCCUCCAAUUGCAUUGAAUGAUUUAGGAUAAGUAAUGCAUACUCAAGUGAAGCUACGGAAUUCCUUGACUUUGCAUUUACAAAUACAAGUGAUAGAGGAGGAUCCUACGUCCAUGUAAGAACUACAAUAACAACUUCCGUGUAUCUCGACAAGAAGCAUACGAUUAUAUCGUGUGUGACGGAUUUAAUACGAGUUAUACUCAUUAGCGUUUUCAUGGGGAAGCCACGUCUUCUUCUAUGCCUAAUCUGGAUCCAAACGAUCUUUUUUGCUUGACUUCUUUGGUUGCAUCAAAUAUUUUUCCUAUUGUUUAAUGUUGUGUUUGGUUACAUCAAAUAUCACGUUUCAUUAAAUUGCAUUAAUAAUCAAUCUAGUUUGGUGCAAUGAAACUUCAUGAUAUUUGGUUCAACCAAGGGCAACCUUAAUAGAAUAUCUAAAAGUGGCAUGUAGCUUAUGCGUCACGCAUCACUGGGACGAACGCUACGCUACAUGCUAUUCACUAUUUAAAGCCACAAUUUGAUUUGCACUGGUAGUUUGACUCGAAGUUUACACAAACUAUUUCAUCAUGGCUAUCUUUCUCUGCAGGUUGCAAUUGUUGUAGCACAUGAACUUGCACAUCAAUGGUUUGGAAAUCUUGUAACAACGGAAUGGUGGAUACAUUUGUGGCUUAAUGAGGGUUUCAUGACAUGGGUGAGCUAUUUAGCAACUGAUUGCUCGUUUUCUGAAUGGAAAAUUUGGACGCAAUUUCUUGACCAGACUACUCAGGGCCUUAGGCUGGACUGGCUUGCAGAAUCACAUGCUAUUGAGGUUGUACUGUGGAUGCUUGCUAUGAGGAAAGAAGAGUCAGCCAAACCUGAUACACAUGGGAUAUAUCUAUAUAUACAUGUGCAAGUGUAUGUGUGUGUCUAGGUUCCAGAGGGUCACAAAGUUUUUUUCUUUCUUUUUCUUUUAUUUUUUUUCCAGCCACAUAUUGACAAAACUUAUUUUCAUCAUAGUUUCAACCAGAAUCUCCCAGAAAAUCGUUAUCAGAAGAAAGAUAAAGGUUCCUCAUCAGAAAUUAAUCUCA